rnacentral:rRNA from 1 species
UGCGUAGGCGGUUUGGUAAGUCUUGUGUGAAAUCUCUGGGCUCAACUCAGAGUCCGCACGAGAUACUGCCGGGCUUGAGUAUGGGAGAGGUGAGUGGAAUUCCUGGUGUAGCGGUGAAAUGCGUAGAUAUCAGGAGGAACACCUGUGGCGAAAGCGGCUCACUGGACCAUAACUGACGCUGAUGCACGAAAGCUAGGGGAGCAAACAGGAUUAGAUACCCUGGUAGUCCUAGCCCUAAACGAUGACUGCUUGGUGUGGCGGGUACCCAAUCCCGCCGUGCCGUAGCUAACGCGUUAAGCAGUCCGCCUGGGGAGUACGGUCGCAAGGCUGAA